rnacentral:rRNA from 1 species
UACAGAGGGGGCAAGCGUUGUUCGGAAUUACUGGGCGUAAAGGGCGCGUAGGCGGCCUUCUAAGUCGAACGUGAAAUCCCUGGGCUCAACCCAGGAACUGCGUCCGAUACUUGAAGGCUUGAAUCCGGGAGAGGGAUGCGGAAUUCCAGGUGUAGCGGUGAAAUGCGUAGAUAUGCGGAGGAACACCGAUGGCGAAGGCAAUCCCCUGGACCUGUACUGACGCUCAUGCACGAAAGCGUGGGGAGCAAACAGG